CCCAGCCUUGAAAGGCUGGGCUAUUGUCUGCCGUCCCUACCGGGACU
rfam:Pirellula sp. SH-Sr6A, complete genome.